CAAUAGCGUAUAUUAAUGUUGUUGCAGUUAAAAAGCUCGUAGUUGGAUUUCGAAUGGGAGCAGUGGGUCGGGUCCGCAAGGGUUCGUUACUAUGCUGUCCUCCGGUUCUUUUUCGGGAUUUUCUCUGGUGCAGCUGGCAUUGAGUUGUCGGUUGUAUUGGGCCCGUCGUUUACUGUGAACAAAUUAGAGUGUUCAAAGCAAGGUGUUUCUUGAAUACAUUAGCAUGGAAUAAUGAGAUAAGACUUUGGUGGUUUCGGUGUUAAAAGCCGGAUAUUUUGUUGGUUUGCACGCCAAAGUAAUGAUUAAUAGGAGCAGUUGGGGGUAUUCGUAUUCAAUUGUCAGAGGUGAAAUUCUUGGAUUUCUAGAAGACGAACUACUGCGAAAGCAUUUACCAGGGAUGUUUUCAUUAA
rnacentral:rRNA from 1 species